rnacentral:rRNA from 1 species
AUUGAACGCUGGCGGCAGGCUUAACACAUGCAAGUCGAGCGGAGAUGAGGUGCUUGCACCUUAUCUUAGCGGCGGACGGGUGGGUAAUGCUUAGGAAUCUGCCUAUUAGUGGGGGACAACAUUCCGAAAGGAAUGCUAAUACCGCAUACGCCCUACGGGGGAAAGCAGGGGAUCUUCGGACCUUGCGCUAAUAGAUGAGCCUAGGUCGGAUUAGCUAGUUGGUGGGGUAAAGGCCUACCAAGGCGACGAUCUGUAGCGGGUCUGAGAGGAUGAUCCGCCACCCUGGGACUGAGACACGGCCCGGACUCCUACGGGAGGCAGCAGUGGGGAAUAUUGGACAAUGGGCGGAAGCCUGAUCCAGCCAUGCCGCGUGUGUGAAGAAGGCCUUUUGGUUGUAAAGCACUUUAAGCGAGGAGGAGGCUACCUGGAUUAAUACUCUAGGAUAGUGGACGUUACUCGCAGAAUAAGCACCGGCUAACUCUGUGCCAGCCGCCGCCGUAACAC